rnacentral:tRNA from 1 species
GGGAAUGUAGCUUAGUGGUAAAGUGCUUGCCUAACAUACAUGAAGCCCUGGGUUCGAUUUCUCAGUACCA